rnacentral:rRNA from 1 species
GCAUGCACGUGCAGCAUGGCGGUGAGCGAGGUGCUCUUCUUUGUUGGGUUCCAGUCCACCGGCCCGACUGUGGCCUGCGCAAUCGGCAACAUCGUCCAGGCCAUCACCUUCGCCAUAGCCGCCGCGCUGAGGAUGGAGGCGGUGCGGCUCGGGACAGUCGCCGGGAAGGCCAAGGUGGCUGGCACGCUCGUCUGCGUCGGCGGCUCCAUGAUCAUGCCCUUGUACAAGGGCCCGCUCCUCAAGGUCCAGGCCUCCCCUGUCAACUGGCGCUACGCGGAGCACGCCGCCAUCGCCGCCACGGAGGUGCCACCGGCCAGUACUGUCCUCGGCGACGCCCUCGUCAUCCUCAGCACCGCCGCCUGGGCCGCCUGGCUCGUCAUGCAGAACAAGGCGUCGGAUGAUUUCUCGGCGCCAUACACCAGCACGACCAUCAUGUCCCUCACAGUAUCGCUUGAGUACGCCGGCGUCAGCGCCGCCGUGGACCGGAGCGCUGGUAACCUUGGGCUCGGAAUCAGGCUGUACACCGUGCUCUAUAUGGGGAUCGUGGGCUGGGGUGUCACGUUCGCAAUGAUGACGUGGUGCAUCCAGGCGCGCGGCCCGCUCUUCGUCGUCGUCUCUCCGGUGGUGCUCGUCGUCGUCGCCGUUCUCCGGUGGGCUGUCCUCGACGAGCAGCUGCACGUCGGAAGUGCUAUUGGGUCUGCUCUCAUUGUUGGCGGGCUGUACAUGGUGCUGUGGGGCAAGGGGAGUGAGAUGAGCAGACCGGCGGCCCUAGUUGACGUCAAAAGUGAAGCGAAGAUCACCGCCAAGGGCCCGGAGCCGAAGAGUGACACGGCCAAUUCCUCCUCCUUGCCGGUUUGA